AAUGAAAAGUACACAUCUGAGCUUUUCAAUUUUCAUACACCUCUCAGCAAAACCAAAACCUUCUUCUUAGCUCUUCGACUGCAUCUCACAAUUCAAGUUAUGGCUUACGCUGCUGUAACUAUUUUAAUGGACACACUGCGCCAAAACUUCCUCCAACCUAAACCCAUAUUCGCUCUUCGCAGAAAAACGAAGGUCAGAUCUCUUUACCGAAACCUUUGCGCUUUGCAAACCUCUCUUCUAGAAGAUUCCAAGGCAGUGAAAGGUUUGGAAGCACGAAUCAGAGAUGUCUCCGUUGAAAUGAGGUUCCAAAUUGAACAGCUGCUGGUGAGAUUGUUUCACCUCGGGAAAGCAAUGAAGGCUAGGCGUAAAUCUGCUCAAAAGCUUCUUCCAGUCUUGAAUCGGCCGAUAGAAUACAUAAAACCCGAGGAUUUGGGUCUUCUGUCGAUUAAACUAGAGGAGCUAAUUUUGCGCUUGAUGAGAAAGUAUUCUGUGUCGCCAGUAUCCCGUGUGCCGAGUCAUAUAAAGAAAAUUCUCAACUCUCUAUGCAUAGAGCUUCAGUUAUGUUGUUCAAGAACACUGGUGAAACUAGAGCUGCACUUCAAUCUGCCCGGCAUGCCAGUUCAUAUUAAAAAACGGGUCAAAUCUCUCUGCAAAAAGCUAAGGUUUCACAGUUCAAAACAUAGCCCAAAUAUCUCAACGCAAAGGUUGAUUAUUGAAGCAAAAAGUCUAAUAAUUCAAGAAUUGAGAGCCUGUCAUCUCAAAAAGUACAGCAAGCAAAGAAAAGAGGCUCGACAAAGGCUUCGCUUAAUGUUCAGACUAGGAAAUAAAUUCACAGCUUACAUCAAGAAAGAGCUGUUGAAGGGGUCUGAAAGUUCACAGCAACUGCACAAUGCUACAUCACUUGGAGAUUUGGAACACAACAAAUGCCUUACAACAGUUGGUGAUUCCUCACAACAUACUUCUAAGUCUGCAAUCAAAAUGGUGGGGUGCAUUGAUGAGCUCAACACAAUAAUGCGCAAGCUGAACCGACAAUCUUUGGAACGAGAAAUUGUCUCAAUUCUGGGGAUGGGAGGUAUCGGCAAAACAACCUUAGCUAAAAGAGUUUAUCAAGAUGCAUCAAUUAUUUCCCACUUUGAUUGUCGAGCAUGGGUUACUGUCUCACAGGAAUAUGAUUCAAGACAAGUGCUCCAAUGCCUUCUGAAUUCUGUUUCCUCAGAGAAGAUUGAAAUAAAUGAAGAUGCCAACAUGUCCAUGUCCAACCACCAACUGGCUGAGAAUGUAUACAGAUGUCUAAAGCUUCGCAGAUAUUUGAUUGUAAUAGAUGACAUAUGGAGUAAAGAUGUCUGGAAUAAUUUACGGAAUUGUCUCCCAGAAGAUCACAAUGGAAGUCGAAUUUUGUUGACCACUAGAAUAAAAGAUGUGGCUGAGCAUGCUACUCCAGGUAGCAACUUUUGUCAUAACAUGCGAUUUUUGGAUUCACAAGAAAGUUGGAACCUUUUUCAUAACAAGGUGUCUGAAAAAAUAUUUUUCUCCCCUGAAUUUGAAACAAUUGGUAGAGGUAUAGUAGAGAAGUGCAAAGGGUUACCUCUUGCAAUUAUUGUGGCUGCCGGACUUCUCUCAAAAUCCAAGCAAACCUUGAAUGAAUGGGAGCAUAUUGCAAAAAAUCUUAGUACAUUGCUAAAUCAAGAUGAUUCUGAUCAGCAAUGUGUGAGCAUCCUUAGUCUGAGUUACACCUUCUUACCUCUUCACCUUAAACCUUGUUUUUUGUCAUUUGGGCUUUUUCCUGAAGACUCUGAGAUUCCCAUAGAAGAGAUUGUUUAUUUUUGGGUUUCAGAGGGAUUUCUAAGUGUCAUGAGAUCUAAGAGCUUGGAAGAUGUGGCUAGGGAGUCUAUACAAGAUCUUAUUGAUAGGAAUCUUGUUCAAGUUUGUAGUCUUAAUGCUAGUGGAAAAACCAAGAAAUGCCAGAUCCAUGAUGUGUUGCGUGAUUUGGCCCUAAUAGAAGCCAAAAGGGAGAAUCUUUUAUAUACCCAUAAACAGCAUAAAGAUAAGGUCAUGCUUCUAAAGUAUAAGAGAACUCAACCAGUAAGCUUUUCUCUUAAAGCUCAAAGAUUGGUUGUUCAAUCAAGAAUUUCCAGCAGCCAUCAUUUAAGCCCAUUUGAUAGCUUCUCUUCAAUUCUAUGGCUUCAGAAGAAUAGUACUAGCCUCAGGUUGCUCUCAAGCCUAGUUUUUGUAAAUUUGCAGUUGUUGAGGGGAUUGGUAAUUUCUAAAAUCCUUGUAAAGGAUACUAACAUACUUUGUCAGGUAAUGGGUCUAGUUCAUUUGAGAUACUUAAGCUUUGAGAUGUACCAUUUUGAUAUUAGCUAUCUACCGUGGUUUAUGCUGUGGAACCUACAGAUAUUAAAAGUUAAUGGAGUAAUAGAGUGUGGUGAAACACCUGGAAUUUGGGAAUUACCUCACGUAAGACAUCUUUAUCUGAAGAGCAUUUAUUCGCAACUUCCCCCAAGAUCAGUUCAAGAUAGCUUGGAGAGUGUUUAUUGGUUGGAUUACAGGAGUUGUACGAAAGAGUUGUUCAUGAUGACUCCAAACCUAAUGAAACUGGGAAUUCAUGACUACAAGGGGAUUCCAGAAUGCAGAGAAGAUAACAAUUGGUUUGAAAGUCUGGCCUACUUAUAUAAACUCCAGGAACUAGACAUUCUUGGCAACAUCAUUCAUUCCACAGGGAUGUGUUUGGAAAAUUAUCUGCCAAAUCUGAAGAAGUUGAAACUUGUCAAAAUGAAACUAAAAUGGAAGGAUAUUGAUGUGAUUGGUACGUUGCCCAACCUUGAAGUCCUCAAGCUGUGUGAUGCUGUCUAUGGUCCAAAAUGGGAAACUAUAAGUGGGAGAUUUCUUCAAUUGAAGUACUUGCUUAUAAGUGGUUCAGAUCUACAGGACUGGGAAGCAAGUGCUGAUCAUUUUCCUAUGCUAGAACGUCUAGCCCUGAAUUGGUGCUACAAGUUGGAGAAGAUUCCUUGUGAUUUUGCAGAUAUUGCUACUCUCCAAUUAAUUGAAUUAUUUCCAUGUUCAAACACCAUCAUUGCUUGUGCUGAGCAUAUUCGAGAAGUGCAACAAGACUCUGGAAAUGAUGCAUUUGUUCUUCAUUACUAUGAUCCAAUCAGGGACUCAGGCUAUCUCCAAGGGACACCAAAUCGGCAAAUUUCAACGCCAUCCCACCAUUUUGUUGAACUCCAACCAGCGGCAAAACGGCAAAAAAUUUGACGCUAAGACUUUGGUCCUAUGACUUUGGUGUCUCCGUCAACUUAGGUUCACAACUUUCAUUCCUAACAUAAGUAGUGCUUGACUUUGAAUUUUUUUUCAUUUUUAGUCCUUCCGGCCAUCUGAGCGGCGGGUUUCAAUCGGAAUUAAUGCAUUACCUUGUAUAUUUAGAUUUUAGAAGGAAUGUCGGCGACCUCCUCUCCUUUAGCCAGCACCCAUCGUAGUCGUCCUUCAGAAUUCUCAUGGAAAAGUAUGCUAAAGGCAAAGAGGGCAUCAACAGUGUGAAUCCUUUCGCAAGGAUCUUCUAAUGCUUGGAAGGGUAUUGUGGCUGCUAAACCCCUUCUCCUUCAAGGCAUGAGAAAAUCCAUUGGAAAUGGGAGGAACACAGAUUUCUGGAGGGAGUGAUGGAUCACCGAGGAACCUCUCAUCAACAAAGUUCCUCAGGAUAUGCGUGUACAUGCCCAUCAUGUUUCUGUUGCUGACAUGUGGGAACAAGGUGCAGGUUGGAGAUGGCAGGAGUUCGUGGACCUUAUUCCCCAUAGCCUGCGUGACAUCUUUGACUUCGUUAAUGUUAGGGAAGGCACUAUCGAGCCUGAUGAGAGUCUUUGGAGAAAAACAAGCUCAGGUAAGUUCUCGGUUUCUACUGCCUACCAUCUUACUAAUAGAGACGGUCCCCACUUGCCGGAUAAGGGGUGGAUUAACAUCUGGCAGCUUAAGGUCCCUUGCAAGAUGAGAAGUUUCUUGUGGCUGGUGAGACAUGAGAGGCUGCGGCCUUGCAACGCUGAAAGGAAGAGGCGACACAUCUCUGCAGUUGAUGAAUGUCCGGCUUUUGUGUGAACAAGGCGGAAACUGUCUGUCGAGCAUGUAACCAGAACCUGCCCCUAAGUCGCUAAUUUAUGGCGCUACCUCCUGGGGAAUAGACAGUUUCAAAAGAUGGAAGGAUUGCAUGCCGUUCAUACAUUGGAUCGAUAUGAAUGUUGAAGGAAGGAUCAACACCCAGUUUGGGACAGACUGGCCGGCUUUAUUCGCAGUAGUAUGCCGGUGGGCAUGGAGAUGGCGUAAUGAUCUGGUUUUCAACAAAAAAAAGUCUACGAGGACGACUACAAGAUACGAUGGGUGAUGGGUGCUGGCUAAAGGAAAGGAGGUCGCCGACAUUCUGGGUGAGAAGAAGAUGAGCUAUUAGACUUUAAUUUGUUUUUUUGUUUAUUGCUUAAGUCAUGGUAAAAGACUUAUUUACCCUUCUAAAAUAUAAAUAUAU